GAGGAUAUAGCUCAGUGGUAGAGCACGUGGUCAGCCUGAAUGAGGUCCUGGGUUCAAUCCCCAGAACCUCU
rnacentral:tRNA from 1 species